GCAAACUUGGUCAUUUAGAGGAAGUAAAAGUCGUAACAAGGUUUCCGUAGGUGAACCUGCGGAAGGAUCAUUAACGUACCCCUGACGGCAAGGGUGCGCCCAGCUCCGGCCCCAGAGGGGCCGCGCAGCGGGUGCGCCCGAGCCGCUCAACCUUUGCAAACCCACUUGUGCACCUUUGUCGGCAAAGGGCCCAGUGGGCCCCGAGCCGGAUCACAGACCACAAAAGAAUGACCAAGUGGACAGGUCUCUGUCCCUAGACCAAAUAACAACUUUCAACAACGGAUCUCUUGGCUCUCGCAUCGAUGAAGAACGCAGC
rnacentral:misc_RNA from 1 species